rnacentral:lncRNA from 1 species
UCCCAGUACAAAUUACUAUAAACUCCUCAUUCCUCCUUAGUGGAGAAAUUCUACCUAUUUUAUAGAUGAGGAAGCAAGAGGUCCGGAGAGAGGGAAGAGGAGUUGUGGGACAAGAAACUGCACCUAGAACUCCCAGUUUCAAGUCAGCCCUUGGGGGUUUAAGCACCCAUGAAGAGAAUUCACUUGGGUCGCUGCCUGCUCCUUGGGUAGAGGAGACCUCAGCUUCAUUCCUGCAAAAUUGGCCAAGACUGUGGCGGGAGGAACAGACUCACUCUGGACAGCCUACUGGGUAUCGACUGCAGAAGCUCAACCAGCCCCGGACUUUGGACAAUGGGAGUUGAGGUUGGAGACAGAGGAGAUCUAUGUGGCCCCUUCUCAAGGUGACACCGGGGAAUAACAUAAGGAGUGAGAAACUGUCCUCAUCGAACACCAAGGCCCAUAUGCUAUUUAUGUGUUUGCAUUUUGGUCUCUCUGUUAAAGUCACAUCACAUGGUAGUCACAGCCUAAAUGUCUCUAGAUUGUGGUGGGAGAGGGUGGGGAGAGUUUGGGGUUGAGGCUGGAAGUUAAUCUUUUGGGUUAUAGAUUAGAGUCAGAGGGACAAAUUUCUACCCAGCACACGCAAAGUCUUGUUUUCAACACAGAGAAGUUGACCCCUGGGAAGGCAUGGCCAUCUCCGUGUGGAUGAAAAGGAAGCCAAGUCAGUGAGCCAUGAGAUAUACAAUAGCAAUGUCCCCUAAAACUGCCCACGACAUCCCACAGCACAGGUUUACCUUUCCCUAAAUGUGAUUCUUGGUUAGAGAAGCUCACACACAACCAUGUCCUUUACAUAGGAGGCCCCAUUGAGUGAGUGACCAUAGCCUUACGUCCCAAGAAAGCUAGAAGCCAAGAAGACACUUCCUGUCCUGGCACCACUGGGCUAAAGCUCCAGAUCCAGUGUGCAGCAGGCAGGGGGAGGGCAGGUGCUGGGUGGAGUGGACAGAGCGCCACAAAGGCUUCUCUCUGGAGCAAAGAUGGUAUGUGGGAAGAACCAAUCACACAGUUGUCCCUGAGGGAGAGAGAGAGAGAGAGAGAAAGAGAGAGAGAGAGCGUGCGAGAGAGAGAGAGAGCUCUGCUCUGACUCAAGGAUGGAUAAGCAAUUGAUUUUUCUCACUCUACCCACCUGUGAAACACAUCACUUGGCUUCUUUUGAGACAGGGUUCCUCUGUGUGGCCCUGCCUGUCUCAGUGUUCAGACCAGGCUGGCCUAGAACUCAGAGGUCUGCCUCACUCUGGCUCCCAUUGCCACCAUCCCCCACAUAACUCCAUUUAUUUGGUUGGUUGGUUGGUUGGUUGGUUGGUUUUG